UGCUCUGUCCCAAGCCACUGCAAGCCAGUCCCCACUGAAAGGAUUCCGCAGCGCUGCUUCUAUUAUUAUACCGUAAAUCUUUUUAAAUUCUGGAACUAAUUAUAUAGAGGAUAUGUCUCAAUUUGUUCUGCAUUAAUGCCACAGCGGGGAUGGAGGCCAGGCCGUGGCCCGAGCAAAUACGUAGGCCCAUGAAAUUGAUGAACUGAGAGCUCGCUUCCAGUCCUGCGCACACCAUCUGGAAUUCCAGUCUGAGGUUACAAUUAGAACUCCUGACCCCAGAUUCAACUUUGCAAACAAC
rnacentral:lncRNA from 1 species